AACGCACAUUGCGCCCUCUGGUAUUCCAGAGGGCAUGCCUGUUCGAGCGUCAUUUCAACCCUCAAGCCUAGCUUGGUGUUGGGGCAUUACCUGACUGUCUUCACAGGAGGGUAAGCCCUGAAAUUCAGUGGCGAGCUCGCCAGGACUCCGAGCGCAGUAGUGUAAACCUCGCUUUGGAUCGUACUGGCGCGGCCCUGCCGUAAAACCCCCAACUUCUGAAAAUUUGACCUCGGAUCAGGUAGGAAUACCCGCUGAACUUAA
rnacentral:misc_RNA from 1 species